CUAUUACCCUACAUCACACUAACCCGCUCCCCCCUACCCCUAUUACCCUACCCUACCCUAUUACCCUACCCCCAUUACCCCUACCCUAUUACCCUAUCGCCCUACCCUACCCCCAUUACCCUACCCUAUUACCCUACCCUACCCCUAAUACCCUACCCUUAUUACCCUACCCUACCCCCAUUAGCCCCAACCCCCUACCCUAACCUUACUCCUAUAGCCCCACCAUCACACUAACCUAACCCUAGACAGGGUUAGUUAAGGUGUAGGUUAGACAGGGUCAGUUAAGGUGUAGGUUAGACAGGGUUAGUUAAGGUGUAGGUUAGACAGGGUUAGUUAAGGUGUAGGUUAGACAGGGUUAGUUAAGGUGUAGGUUAGACAGGGUUAGUUAAGGUGUUAGGUUAGAGAUUUUUGAAUGAAAUAAUCAAAGCACAAAUUAUCCAAUACACGAUUUAAAGGCCAGAAUGGGUUUCUAUUUGACCUUUCAGCAUUAUGGCUUAUCCUUAUAAGUCGAUUUAUUUGUUUUAAUUCCUUCUUCAAAUACAAAAUGUGAUUUUUAUGCAAACGAUCAUUACAAAAAGCAAUGAUUAAGUGAUUAUCUUCCAUCUUUUGCAUUCGAAGCCUUUGUACAUGUCUGUUCUGUCAUAUUAAAAUCUGAGAGUUAUAACCAUCUUUAUACUUUAUUGUAAAGAACAAGGUCAGCUCAAACUGUUGUGCCUCGUUUCCACCGAGCAGUUCGGUUCGGUGCGGCACGGUUCGCUUAUAUCGGUGUUUCUGCUGCCAAAAGUAGGGUAGGGUCCCAAAUAAGCGUGCGGCUUCUAUUCUGAGCACUCCUCCGUUGGCGACCACGCCGUCUGAAAGGGUGCCGAAAAGUUGGCGUUACAAAAACCGUCCGUUGAUUUGUCGACAGAAUGUUCACUUCCGUGCGUCAGGGGGAUAAAAACAAACCACCCCAAACGACCCCUGGGGUCACACUCUGAUGGGCCACAGGAUCCGGUGGAACAGCGGACCGCCAAAACACUGUCUGACAUCGUAGCGGCCUGCAGCGUCAGAGAGGGUGGGGACCACUGAUCUAUACACUAUGG
ensembl:lncRNA